GCAACUGUAGUACUGUGGUAGAGCGUAGGGUUCUCAACCAGACUAUCGGUUCGAAUCCGAUGGGUGGCA
rnacentral:tRNA from 1 species